UGGGGAAUUUUGGACAAUGGGCGAAAGCCUGAUCCAGCCAUGCCGCGUGAGUGAAGAAGGCCUUCGGGUUGUAAAGCUCUUUUAGUCGGAAAGAAAGAGUUGCAAUGAAUAAUUGUGAUUUAUGACGGUACCGACAGAAAAAGCACCGGCUAACUACGCGCCAGCAGCCGCGGUAAUACGUAGGGUGCGAGCGUUAAUCGGAAUUACUGGGCGUAAAGGGUGCGCAGGCGGUCUUGCAAGUCAGAUGUGAAAGCCCCGGGCUUAACCUGGGAAUUGCGUUUGAAACUACAAGACUAGAGUGCAGCAGAGGGGAGUGGAAUUCCAUGUGUAGCAGUGAAAUGCGUAGAGAUGUGGAAGAACACCGAUGGCGAAGGCAGCUCCCUGGGUUGACACUGACGCUCAUGCACGAAAGCGUGGGGAGCAAACA
rnacentral:rRNA from 1 species